rnacentral:rRNA from 1 species
GACGAACGCUGGCGGCGUGCCUAACACAUGCAAGUCGUGCGAUUGAGAGGUGAGCAUCUCACUUCUCAAGAGCGGCGGACGGGUGAGUAAUGCGUGAACAAUCUACCGGCAAGACUGGGACAACACCGGGAAACUGGUGCUAAUACCGGAUAAUCUCCACCGGCGGCAUCGUUGGUGGAGGAAAGUCGGCCUCUGGAUAUGCUGGCGCUUGUUGAUGAGUUCACGUCCCAUUAGCUUGUUGGCGGGGUAACGGCCCACCAAGGCGACGAUGGGUAGCCGGCCUGAGAGGGUGGUCGGCCACACUGGGACUGAGACACGGCCCAGACUCCUACGGGAGGCAGCAGUGGGGAAUCUUCCGCAAUGGGCGCAAGCCUGACGGAGCGACGCCGCGUGAGGGACGAAGGCCUUCGGGUUGUAAACCUCUUUUCUGGGGGAAGAACGUCCGGCCUGUUAAUAGCGGGUUGGGUUGACGGUACCUCAGGAAUAAGCCCCGGCUAACUACGUGCCAGCAGCCGCGGUAAUACGUAGGGGGCGAGCGUUGUCCGGAAUCACUGGGCGUAAAGGGCGCGUAGGCGGCUUGAGAAGUCGCAGGUGAAAUCCCGUGGCUCAACCGUGGAACUGCCUGCGAAACCAUCGGGCUUGAGGACAGGAGAGGGAAGCGGAAUUCCUGGUGUAGCGGUGAAAUGCGUAGAUAUCAGGAGGAACACCAGUGGCGAAGGCGGCUUUCUGGCCUGGUCCUGACGCUGAGGCGCGAAAGCUAGGGGAGCAAGCAGGAUUAGAUACCCUGGUAGUCCUAGCUGUAAACGAUGGGCACUAGGUGUUGGGGGGUUCAUACCCUUCAGUGCCGUAGGUAACCCAAUAAGUGCCCCGCCUGGGGAGUACGGUCGCAAGACUGAAACUCAAAGGAAUUGACGGGGGCCCGCACAAGCGGUGGAGCAUGUGGUUUAAUUCGAUGCAACGCGAAGAACCUUACCAGGGUUUGACAUGUCGGUGGUACGGAGUGGA